AAUGAGUGAAGCCCUUACCUCAGAACUGUUCAUGGACGAAAGGGUCUGCAUUGGGAAGAAGUGGGUUCUUGGAAGGAUCCAAGCAUAGGCUGGACAAGCUCUUGCCUGGAAUGUGAGGACUUUUCUCAGGCACGAGGAAGCACUCCCUCCUCCGGACGGAUGCAAGCACUGGCAUGGAGCCCGCAGGGGACCUGGCUGCCUCUAAGACGUGGUGAGUACGGGGACAGGCCCCAGCUCUGCUGGCUGACCAGGCACAGCCCUACCAUGGAGUGGGUGGACGAGAUGGCCUCCCAUCGGGGCCUGGGAAUCACCUCCUCUGCUGGCCCAGCAGGUUCUCUCCCAUGCUGCUGCUGUGUGGUGAUGGUGAUAAUGGUGAUAAUGAUGAUGAUGGUGACGAUGAUGAUAAUGAAGACCAAGGGGAAGCAGAAAAAGAGGCAGAUUUAAGUGCACUAUCAGAAAAGAACUACGUACAGACCUAAGAAGCUUAGCAAUAACUUAGUAGGAUAAAUACAAAGAAAACCUGUGCCUAUGCAGAUUACGUGAAAAACCGAAGAUGAAGAUCAAAUCUCGGAAAGCAUAAGCAAAUAAACCUAAAGAGGGCUGGCA
rnacentral:lncRNA from 13 species